rnacentral:misc_RNA from 1 species
AUUCUGCGUGCUUUCGGUGCUGAGUUGGUGCUUACUGACCCAGCAAAAGGGAUGAAAGGUGCAAUUUCGAAGGCCGAAGAGAUAAGGGGCAAAACACCUAACUCCUAUAUUCUUCAGCAAUUUGAAAACCCUGCUAACCCAAAGAUACACUAUGAAACCACUGGUCCUGAGAUCUGGAAAGGCUCAAACGGGAAAGUGGAUGCACUAGUCUCUGGAAUUGGAACAGGAGGCACAAUAACAGGUUCAGGCAAGUAUUUGAGAGAGCAGAACCCCAACAUCAAGCUGUAUGGCGUGGAACCAGUUGAAAGUGCUAUCCUUUCUGGUGGAAAGCCUGGUCCACAUAAGAUUCAGGGGAUUGGUGCUGGUUUCGUUCCUGGUGUUUUGGAAGUUAACCUUAUUGACGAUGUAGUUCAGGUUUCAAGUGAUGAAUCCAUAGAAAUGGCUAAGCUUCUGGCAUUGAAGGAAGGAUUGCUAGUGGGAAUAUCAUCUGGUGCUGCUGCUGCUGCGGCAAUUAAAGUUGCUAAGCGUCCUGAAAAUGCUGGGAAGCUCAUUGUUGUUGUUUUCCCAAGCUUCGGGGAG